UAGUUUUUUUCUUCCAUCAAGUAUCAAAUACAUUCCAUUUUAAGUGCACAUAGUGCAACUUAGUGCAUAUAUAAGGAACAGUUGAAACAUCAUGGCGGCUCACUGUGUAUGCCGUGUAUUGUAAUAUAAUAGCAGUUAUUCAGUCUUUCAGAAAACAUUUGAAAACAACAUUUUUAUCAUGAAUGACGUUACGAAUAAUAAUUUUAAAGAGAUAUAUCCACAAUUAGAACAUACAUUGAAAAAUGCGACUUUCAUAGCAAUUGAUAGCGAAUUUUCAGGUAUAAAAGAUGAAAAUAUAAAAACUAGUUUGUUCGAUUCUAUCGAGGAACGCUAUGAUAAAAACAGGAAUAUUAUCCGGCCGUACAUAAUAGUGCAGUUUGGUAUUACUGCAUUCCAACGAAUACAUGAUGAAAAUCAAUAUAAUGCGGAAAUCUUCAACUUUUUUAUAUUGCCUAAAUCUAUUCCAUCAAAAAAUAGACAAGUUCUUUGGGAUGUAUCAUCAAUGGAGUUUCUGGCUGAGCAUGAGUUUGAUUUUAACAAGCUUGCUCACCAUAGUAUUCCAUACAUUGAUGAACAGGAGAAAGAAAUUUUGCAGCAACAAAUACAACAAAACACAUUGAUUUACAACAUUAAGCAAGUGAUAUCUUUCACGGAAGAGGAUACUUUAAAAAAUACGAUCAAUGAAGUAGCGAAAUGGUUGGCUACUAAUAUCGAUGAAACUAAUUCGUUUAAGAUCAAAACUUCUUCUCCAAAUUUACAGUACCUCAUGCAUAAGGAAUUAAGAAAACAUUUUCCAAAUAUUUGGACUCUCUCAGGAAAUGAAUCGGUAACUGUAAUAAAAGUGGAACCAAAUACAAGAGAGAUUUUGAGCGAGGAAGAAGAUCUCAUUCUGGAAAAUGCAUUGCUGGAAUCAUAUAUGGGCUUCUCAAAAGUGUUUAAUCUCUUAGUUACAUUGAAGAAGCCUAUAAUAGGACACAAUGUCCUGUUAGAUUUAAUGUUUAUGUAUCAACAAUUUUACAAGCCUCUGCCACGAAAAUAUAUCGAUUUCAAGAAUAAUAUACAUAAAUUAUUUCCAUUAAUUUAUGACACAAAAUUUUUGAGCUUUGAACUUAGGGAAAUUCUUGAUCCACAAGAAAAAUGGAAAACUAAUUCACUAGGAGGCCUAUUUGAUUAUUUUACAAAGUUUGGUUACUACUCAGACUAUGACUUAAAGUAUGAAAUAUAUUCUCCUGUACCUAAAAUUCGUCUCAAUAAUGAAUUGAUUUAUUCAGAUGCUGUUAAAGCAUCUAUGAAAUGUCACACUGCAGGUUGGGAUUCUUACUUUACGGGUUACAUAUUUAUAAAAAUGGCAUUUAAAUUCACUCAGAAGUACACUAAACCUGAUGGUCCUAAAAGUAAAGAAACGUCGAGGUACGUUACGCAUAAAGAAUUAAUGCACCGUAUUCAAAAUUUCGCAAAUUGUAUAAAUAUCAUACGUGGCAGAAUGUCAUACCUGAAACUCAAUGGACACGAACCGCCAUCGACUCGUCCGAAGUGGCUUUAUGUGAAAACCUUAACAGCCAAACCAAUAACCGAAAUGGAGAUAUAUGAAGAAAUAUUGAAAUUCGGUCCCGUUGAUGUGAAAAAACUUGCGUCAGACCGUAUAUUAGUGGCGGUAGGAAAUCAUGGGAGCGCCCGGGACAUACUGCAGUGGUUCAGGCAAAACAAGGAGCUGCACGUAGUCCCUUACAGCGCGAUACGUCACUCACCUUCGGUGCAACUCGCUCUAGUGAGGUGAAGUCAGCGGACUGACCAAGCUGAAGAUCUACCACCGUAAUUUGUUAAACGCUCCCUCGUUACCGAGACAAGGCUGUCCGUUGUGACGGCUCGCGUACAAUUUUGCUGCCGCAUAGACAAGAUAAAUAUACAUGUCGCGCCCGUUAUUUAUAUUGAUGCGGCUUCUCUUUGAGGGGCGAGCCUGCUGCCUACGCGUUAUUAGCGCGCGACCCUCAUUAGCACUCGCUCCGGCUAAGAAGCGCUAGAUUUCGCACGGAAGAACCAAACCAAAACAAUGCUCGGGGGACGUGCGGCUUUCGACCUUUCGACCUUUGGACCAUGUCAGGAGGGAACAGCCGUUUGCACAGACCGACGAGAACACGAGGCUAACACGGUGACGCUGUUAGUCCGAAGUCGCAGGACGCUGCAUCUUGUCGGGCGAUUACAUCGAUUAUAGCAGAUGCCGAAAUUCCGAUCGAGUCGUUGUCGUCGGCCAAGUGCAACGGCACUACAAUGUCUCGGCGGGGAACGAACGGUGGGCACCGCUUGAGUGGGGAUCCGAUGAGAAAACCGCGAUCACAGCAUCAGAAAGAACAGUAGGUUCACUCGGUGGCGGUGCUUUUGAUCUCAGGUGCUGCAAGACCGCCGUGUUAUGGAUUAUAAUUUGAAUGGCAAUGAAUAGUAGCUAAAAUAGAUUUAUUGCUGUU